rnacentral:rRNA from 2 species
UGAGGAAUAUUGGUCAAUGGGCGAGAGCCUGAACCAGCCAAGUCGCGUGAAGGAAGAAGGAUCUAUGGUUCGUAAACUUCUUUUUUAGGGGAAUAAAGUGUGGGACGUGUCCCAUUUUGUAUGUACCCUACGAAUAAGGAUCGGCUAACUCCGUGCCAGCAGCCGCGGUAAUACGGAGGAUCCAAGCGUUAUCCGGAUUUAUUGGGUUUAAAGGGUGCGUAGGCGGGACGACAAGUCAGUGGUGAAAGUUUGCAGCUCAACUGUAAAAUUGCCGUUGAAACUGUCGUUCUUGAGUGUAAAUGAGGUAGGCGGAAUGUGUUAUGUAGCGGUGAAAUGCUUAGAUAUGACACAGAACACCAAUUGCGAAGGCAGCUUACUAAGAUACAACUGACGCUGAGGCACGAAAGCGUGGGGAUCGAACAGG